GGAGUGAACGCUGGCGGCCGUGCCUUAAGUACGAUGCAAGUCGAACGAACAUUAAGAGUGCUUGGCACGUUUUAAUAGGUUAGUGGCGAACGGGUGAGUAAUACAUAGGCAACUUGCCCCAAGGACUGGGAUAACACUUAGAAAUGAGUGCUAAUACCGGAUAGGUAAUACAAAGGCAUCUUAGUAUUAUUAAAGUUGGGUAUCCAACACCAUGGGAUGGGCUUAUGCUGUAUUAGCUAGUUGGUGAGGUAAAAGCCCACCAAGGCGAUGAUACAUAGCUGGUCUGAGAGGAUGAACAGCCACAUUGGGACUGAGACGCGGCCCAG
rnacentral:rRNA from 1 species